AAUGAGAACCGAACUUUUUCCGUAUAUUUUCCGGUUCCUACAUUUACUAUCCGAACCAAACAGAACCCGAAACUAUCCGAACCGAACCAAACCGAAAAUAGGUCAAGUACUAAAUGGAUCCUUUAACCCUUAUCCGAACUAUCCGAAACCCGAAAUACCCGAACCGAACCGAACCGAUAUCCGAAAUGCCCAGGCCUAGCUCCAACCAUACAUCUCCCUCUGCUGCACCCGCUCCUGCUCCUCUCGCUCCCGCUGCUGCAUCCGCUCCUGUUCCUCCAGGUCCUCCGGGAGUGAUGAGUGUUGCGGAGUUGGUUCAAC
rnacentral:lncRNA from 1 species